rnacentral:rRNA from 1 species
GACGAACGCUGGCGGCGUGCCUAAUACAUGCAAGUCGAGCGAAGUUUUUCUGGUGCUUGCACUAGAAAAACUUAGCGGCGAACGGGUGAGUAACACGUAAAGAACCUGCCUCAUAGACUGGGACAACUAUUGGAAACGAUAGCUAAUACCGGAUAACAGUAUUUCUCGCAUGAGAGAUAUUUAAAAGUUGGUUAUGCUAACACUAUGAGAUGGCUUUGCGGUGCAUUAGCUAGUUGGUGGGGUAAAGGCCCACCAAGGCGACGAUGCAUAGCCGACCUGAGAGGGUGAUGGGCCACACUGGGACUGAGACACGGCCCAGACUCCUACGGGAGGCAGCAGUAGGGAAUCUUCCGCAAUGGGCGAAAGCCUGACGGAGCAACGCCGCGUGAGUGAAGAAGGAUUUCGGUUCGUAAAGCUCUGUUGUUAGGGAAGAAUGGAUAUGUAGUAACUAUACAUGUAAGAGACGGUACCUAACCAGAAAGCCACGGCUAACUACGUG